rnacentral:rRNA from 1 species
GACAGAGGUCCCGAGCGUUAGGCGGAAUCUCUGGGCUUAAAGCGUGUGUAGGCGGAUCGUUAAGUGCCUUGUGAAAUCCCAUGGCUUAACCAUGGAACUGCUUGGCAUACUGGCGGUCUUGAGCCACUUAGGGGCAACCGGAACAAAUGGUGGAGCGGUGAAAUGCGUAGAUAUCGUUUGGAACGCCAAUGGUGAAAACAGGUCGCUGGGAGUGUGCUGACGCUGAGACACGAAAGCCAGGGGAGCGAACGGG